CCCAUCCCUUUGGAGCGAUACUCAAAUUUGGGUAAUUAUUGUAGAUAAAACUCUAACCUUAACCACUUUGGCAACAUUCAGAGCAAUAGACACAUGUAGAAACCUGGAAGUACCAAUUUUUAAUGAAACAAGCUGGUUAAGAUGAGAUACAGUAAAGGCGAAGAAAACAUAUUGAGACUUCUCCAACGGUGCUGAGAGAGGAAAAUGAAUGAAGAGAGGUGCCUAGAAAAGCACAGGCUGAGGAAAGAAGGAGUAGGAAGAUUACUUCAGUCAACGAAAAGGAAUGAAGUCGGGGGAAAGAAAGGUGUAUCUAAGAAAGGAUUCCAAAUGAUUUGGAAUCUGGAACCCCAGAUGUUAAACAACUAACUUGCCUAUGGAAAUCAGUUUUGACUUGAACUCGGUAUCCAAGAAGUGGAUCCAAGAAAACGUAUUCUCCUCAAGGACAAGGGAACCAAUCCACGAACUAAAUGGGGGCGGGGCGUGUUAGGUCUUGAAGCUCUGUAACCGUGAGAUGUCUCCGUGUGAAUUCGAGAGGCUUUGGCUCCUGCCCUGGGAAUCCUCACACUCUGGAAAAGCGGAUUUUUCAUUGUAAAUGUCUGGCUGGUGAAUGACAUGCUGAUGUGGCACCAGCCUUGUUCUUGUUCAUUGGGAAAAGGAACAACGGAGAAUAGAAAAUUGACCAGUGGGAUUCUGAUUCAGGCUGGAAGGCUCCAUGCACCGUGAGGCCAGCUCCAGCUCCUCUCCGAAAACUGUAAUAUGGAUUCCUGUCAAGUGUUAAAAAGUUUCUUUUCUUUGUUGUUUCUUUUUUUCUUUUUCUUUUUCUUUUGUUUCUUGUUUUUCACUUUUGGAGUCAAGUAAAUAUUUUUCAUUGCUUGAUGGAGAAAGGGAGAAAUGGUGCCCCCAAGUUAGAUGAAUAAAAUUUUUGUCGUAUUUUCUUUCUUA